CCUACGGGAGGCUGCAGUGGGGAAUAUUGGACAAUGGGCGAAAGCCUGAUCCAGCCAUGCCGCGUGUGUGAAGAAGGCCUUCGGGUUGUAAAGCACUUUCAGUGGGGAAGAAAGCCUUGGGGCUAAUACCCUCGAGGAAGGACAUCACCCACAGAAGAAGCACCGGCUAACUCCGUGCCAGCAGCCGCGGUAAUACGGAGGGUGCGAGCGUUAAUCGGAAUUACUGGGCGUAAAGCGCGCGUAGGCGGUCUGAUAAGCCGGUUGUGAAAGCCCCGGGCUCAACCUGGGAACGGCAUCCGGAACUGUCAGGCUAGAGUGCAGGAGAGGAAGGUAGAAUUCCCGGUGUAGCGGUGAAAUGCGUAGAGAUCGGGAGGAAUACCGGUGGCGAAGGCGGCCUUCUGGACUGACACUGACGCUGAGGUGCGAAAGCGUGGGUAGCAAACAGGAUUAGAUACCCGUGUAGUC
rnacentral:rRNA from 1 species